CGUACACACGUGCUACAAUGGCCGGUACAAAGGAGUUGCGAUACCGCGAGGUGGAGCUAAAUCCUACACUAAAAGCCGGUCUCAGUUCGGAUUGGAGUCUGCAACUCGACUCCAUGAAGUUGGAAUCGCUAGUAAUCGCGGAUCAGCACGCCGCGGUGAAUACGUUCCCGGGCCUU
rnacentral:rRNA from 1 species